GUGAGCGUGCCGGAGUGGUUAUCGGGCAUGACUAGAAAUCAUGUGGGGGCGCAGGUUCGAAUCCUGCCCUCACG
rnacentral:tRNA from 1 species